rnacentral:lncRNA from 1 species
AGCCUCCACUGGUCCUCAGCCUUUACCAUCUUUUAGAUACUGCUCUACACGUAACAGUGGUUGCAGUAUCUACUGAGUCCCUCCCACAUGCCCAGUCUCUGAUGUUCAGCAGCAGCAGCCCAGGGACCUCGAGCUUUAAGGUGAAGGAAUACUACUUCCUCCUUGCCUCUUUCCACAAACUAUCUUUUUGGGGAAGAGAAGGCCCACAUGACCUGAGAACAUGAGACUGCCCAUUGGGCCAUUUGGAAGACGUUCUGAACUCUGAGGAGCUUUUUGCUCAAAAUAUUGAAACAAACUCACAGGAGGUCAGCACUUACUGGUUGCAUUCAAUAUUUAUUGGACUUCUGGGUGUAAGAAAGGGGAAAGGAGGUUGAGAAAGCAAAAUCUACAAGUUGCUCCAACAGAAAUUUGAAUGACAAAAGAAAAUUCUAGCAAGAAGGAGGAUCCAAACAUAAAAGGUUACAAGUCCACGGUACAGUCAUUAGUAAUAAAUGGUGAAAAGAGGAGUCGAUAAAGGUUACAGGGAAACAAGAACUUCAACACCCAAAAGCACAGAGCGAUAUAGAUUAAGCUUACAUGUAGUAAUAGCCAGUCAACGUAUUAUUCUUUGAAAAGGUCAGGUGUGCCAAGGAGAUUAUAGAUAUGUCAGGGUGCAAAGCUAUACCAGAUGUCUCUAACUCAAUUAGCUACCGAGUCGU